GAUAAACGCUGGCGGCGUGCCUAAUGCAUGCAAGUCGCACGGAGUGUCCUUUCGGAGGCAUUGAGUGGCGAACGGGUGAGGAACGCGUGGACAACCUACCCCGGCGUGGGGAGUACCCGCCAGAAAUGGCGGCUAAUACCGCGUACGGUCCAGGGGCGACGGGCUACCUGGAAGAAAGCAGUGAUGCGCGCUGGGAGGGGUCUGCGGCCGAUUAGCUCGUUGGCGGGGUAAUGCUCACCAAGGCGAUGAUCGGUAGCUGGUCUGAGAGGAUGAUCAGCCACACGGGGACUGAGACACGGCCCCGACU
rnacentral:rRNA from 1 species